AUUGAACGCUGGCGGCAGGCCUAACACAUGCAAGUCGAACGAGUGGCGGACGGGUGAGCAAUGUCUGGGAAACUGCCUGAUGGAGGGGGACAACUACUGGAAACGGUAGCUAACACCGCAUACAAUCGGAUGUGCCCAGAUUGGAUUAGGUUGUUGGUGGGGCAACGGCUCACCAAGGAGAAGAUCCCUAGCUGGUCUGAGAGGAGGACCAGCCACAUUGGAACUGAGACACGGUCCAGACUCCUACGGGAGGCUGUAGUGGAGAAUAUUGCACAAUGGGCGCAAGCAUGAUUCAGCCAUGCCGCGUGUGUGAAGAAGGCCUUCGGGUUGUAAAGUACUUUCAGCGGGGAGGCGUUACCCACAGAAGAAGCACCGGCUAACUCCGUGCCAGCAGCCGCGGUAAUUC
rnacentral:rRNA from 1 species